GCUGCUAUGGCCGAGUCGUUAAGGCGAGUGAUUUGAACUUCUCACUAUCACUUGGGAUUUUCCCGCGUAGGUUCAAAUCCUGCUGGCAGCG
rnacentral:tRNA from 1 species